rnacentral:rRNA from 1 species
AUUGAACGCUGGCGGCAGGCUUAACACAUGCAAGUCGAGCGGGGUGAUGGUGCUUGCACUAUCACUUAGCGGCGGACGGGUGAGUAAUGCUUAGGAAUCUGCCUAUCAGUGGGGGACAACAUCUCGAAAGGGAUGCUAAUACCGCAUACGUCCUACGGGAGAAAGCAGGGGAUCACUUGUGACUCUGCGCUAACAGAUGAGCCUAAGUCGGAUUAGCUAGUUGGUGGGGUAAAGGCCUACCAAGGCGACGAUCUGUAGCGGGUCUGAGAGGAUGAUCCGCCACACUGGGACUGAGACACGGCCAGACUCCUACGGGAGGCAGCAGUGGGGAAUAUUGGACAAUGGGGGGAACCCUGAUCCAGCCAUGCCGCGUGUGUGAAGAAGGCCUUAUGGUUGUAAAGCACUUUAAGCGAGGAGGAGGCUCUUUUGGUUAAUACCCAAGAUGAGUGGACGUUACUCGCAGAAUAAGCACCGGCUAACUCUGUGCCAGCAGCCGCAGUAA